rnacentral:rRNA from 1 species
GAUGAACGCUGGCGGCGUGCCUAAUACAUGCAAGUCGAGCGAACGGACGAGAAGCUUGCUUUUCUGAUGUUAGCGGCUGACGGGUGAGUAACACGUGGAUAACCUACCUAUAAGACUGGGAUAACUUCGGGAAACCGGAGCUAAUACCGGAGAAUAUUUUGAACCGCAUGGUUCAAAAGUGAAAGACGGUCUUGCUGUCACUUAUAGAUGGAUCCGCGCUGCAUUAGCUAGUUGGUAAGGUAACGGCUUACCAAGGCAACGAUGCAUAGCCGACCUGAGAGGGUGAUCGGCCACACUGGAACUGAGACACGGUCCAGACUCCUACGGGAGGCAGCAGUAGGGAAUAUUCGGCAAUGGGCGAAAGCCUGACGGAGCAACGCCGCGUGAGUGAUGAAGGUCUUCGGAUCGUAAAACUCUGUUAUUAGGGAAGAAAAUAUGUGUAAGUAACUGUGCACAUCUUGACGGUACCUAAACAGAAAGCAACGGCUAACUACGUG